rnacentral:rRNA from 1 species
UAGGGAAUAUUGGACAAUGGGCGAGAGCCUGAACCAGCCAUGCCGCGUGAAGGAUGAAGGCCUUCUGGGUUGUAAACUUCUUUUAUAUAGGAAGAAAAAGGUCAUGCGUGACCAAUUGACGGUACUAUAUGAAUAAGCACCGGCUAACUCCGUG